AACGAACGCUGGCGGCAUGCCUAACACAUGCAAGUCGAACGAGACCUUCGGGUCUAGUGGCGCACGGGUGCGUAACGCGUGGGAACCUGCCCUUAGGUUCGGAAUAACUCCCCGAAAGGGGUGCUAAUACCGGAUAAUGUCUUCGGACCAAAGAUUUAUCGCCUUUGGAUGGGCCCGCGUUGGAUUAGCUAGUUGGUAGGGUAAAAGCCUACCAAGGCGACGAUCCAUAGCUGGUCUGAGAGGAUGAUCAGCCACACUGGGACUGAGACACGGCCCAGACUCCUACGGGAGGCAGCAGUGGGGAAUAUUGGACAAUGGGCGAGAGCCUGAUCCAGCAAUUCCGCGUGAGUGAUGAAGGCCUUAGGGUUGUAAAGCUCUUUUACCCGGGAUGAUAAUGACAGUACCGGGAGAAUAAGCUCCGGCUAACUCCGUG
rnacentral:rRNA from 1 species